rnacentral:rRNA from 1 species
UACGGGGGGGGCAAGCGUUGUUCGGAAUUACUGGGCGUAAAGGGCUCGUAGGCGGCCAACUAAGUCAGACGUGAAAUCCCUCAGCUUAACUGGGGAACUGCGUCUGAUACUGGAUGGCUUGGAUCCGGGAGAGGGAUGCGGAAUUCCUGGUGUAGCGGUGGAAUGCGCAGAUAUCAGGAGGAACACCAACGGCGAAGGCAGCCCGCUGGGACGGUACUGACGCUAAGGCGCGAAAGCGUGGGGAGCGAACGAGG